UACGUAGGGUGCAGGCGUUAAUCGGAAUUACUGGGCGUAAAGCGUGCGCAGGCGGCUUUGCAAGACAGAUGUGAAAUCCCCGGGCUCAACCUGGGAACUGCAUUUGUGACUGCAAGGCUGGAGUACGGUAGAGGGGGAUGGAAUUCCGCGUGUAGCAGUGAAAUGCGUAGAUAUGCGGAGGAACACCGAUGGCGAAGGCAAUCCCCCUGGACCUGUACUGACGCUCAUGCACGAAAGCGUGGGGAGCAAACAGG
rnacentral:rRNA from 1 species